rnacentral:rRNA from 1 species
GACGAGGGGUCCUAGCGUUGUUCGGAAUCACUGGGCGUAAAGCGUUUGUAGGCGGCCCUGUAAGUCGGGUGUGAAAUCCCAUGGCUCAACCAUGGAAGUGCAUUCGAAACUGCAGGGCUUGAAUAUGGAAGAGGAGAGUAGAAUUCCUGGUGUAGUGGUGAAAUACGUAGAUAUCAGGAGGAAUACCGGUGGCGAAGGCGGCUCUCUGGUCCAAUAUUGACGCUGAGAAACGAAAGUGCGGGGAUCAAACAGG